GUUUCCGUGGUGUAGUGGUCAUCACGUCUGUCUAACACACAGAAGGUCCCCAGUUCGAACCUGGGCGGGAACA
rnacentral:ncRNA from 11 species